AAACCAUGCUUUGUAGAAUGGAUCCUGCUUCGGAAUUGCUGAUCUCAUCAACCACAUGUUUAUAGAGAGAGCAGUGGCCCUUAAGGAACUGGAGAGAAUGCUCUGAUUUACUUCUGUCCGGCCUGGUGAACAGCAGGAAUGGCUGUAGCUGUUCUCUUUGCCAAGGACAGAUCUGAUCUGAUUGCCUUGAGGUGAAAGUGAG
rnacentral:lncRNA from 1 species